AUCUCUCUUUAUUACAUUUAGGAGGAUAAAAAAAAGCGAGAUCGAGACCGUGUGGAGAAUGAAGCCGAAAAAGACCUCCAGUGUCAUGCCCCCAUAAGAUUAGAUUUGCCUCCUGAGAAGCCUCUCACAAGCUCUUUAGCCAAACAAGAAGAAGUAGAACAGACACCCCUUCAAGAAGCAUUGAAUCAACUGAUGAGACAAUUGCAGAG